rnacentral:rRNA from 1 species
UACGAAGGGGGCUAGCGUUGUUCGGAUUAACUGGGCGUAAAGGGUGCGUAGGCGGGUUUUUAAGUCAGGGGUGAAAUCCCGAGGCUCAACUUCGGAACUGCCUUUGAUACUGGAAAUCUUGAGUCUGGGAGAGGUGAGUGGAACUGCGAGUGUAGAGGUGAAAUUCGUAGAUAUUCGCAAGAACACCGGUGGCGAAGGCGGCUCACUGGCCCGGAACUGACGCUGAGGCACGAAAGCGUGGGGAGCAAACAGG